rnacentral:lncRNA from 10 species
UGCAGGUAGCGCGAGGGUCGUUCAGCAGCAGGAGGCGGGGGUCUGGCUGCCCUCAUACCAAACUCGUUCCCUCUACCUCACCAGGGUCUCAAUGUGUGAGUCAUUUCAACUGAGGGUGUUAGGUUUUCAAGUCCACAGGAUGGAAUACUUAGUGUCACAGAAAUAGAAGCUCAUCAAAGGUGUGCUUUGCCGGACUGGGUGGCUGCUCACCAAUUCAUGGGAGGCUUAGCACAUCGUAAUGGAAAAGCAGAGAGGGCGUGUAAGCCGGGUAGUUUCCUGCCAUCCUGCAAUGCCUGAAAUCGAGCCUGUUGAAGUGGGAGGUAGCCUGAUAAGUGAAGAUAGCUCGGAAUUUCGAAUUAGAAGACUCGAUGAUUUACUGUGUGACCCUGGAUCAUUCACUGAGCCACUCUGGGCCCUAUUU